rnacentral:misc_RNA from 1 species
GUAGGUGAACCCGCGGAAGGAUCAUUACUGAGUCUUGAAGAGGUUGCAGCUGGUCUUAUCAGGCAAGUGCUCGCCUCGUUCAAAUCCACUCUACACCUGUGCACUUACUGUGGACUUUGGUAUUUUUGGAGGGUCCUUUGGCCCUUUAUGAAUCCGGGUUCAUGUUUUAUUAUAUAUACGCUUCAGUAUUGAGAAUGUGUAUUGUGAUGUAACGCAUCGUUAUACAACUUUCAGCAACGGAUCUCUUGGC